GCAGCUGCUAGGGCUAGGGUUCUGUUCUGUUCAUGUUCGUGUCCACUGUCUAGUGGAAUCUGGCCUCUGGGUUCUCCUUCUCCACUUCUCCCUAUUCUCCUCUUCGCCUCUUCGCUUAAGCCUCUUCCCAGUUCCCGUCCCGAUCCCGAAUCCCUCUUCCGUGAGUUAGGGUUCCAUUCCAUUCGAUUUCGGCCAUUCCCAGCACAACAGUAUCCCAGUUCCCAGACUCCCUUCCCAUUCGGUCCUGCCUUUCCGAUUUUGGCUUCAGAACUUCGACGCACGGAGGCUACACACCGGCACACCGGCAGCUGGCAGCGGCACUCCCAAUUCCCCCUUCGGCCCUUCCCAGUUCCCACCUCGCAUUGCGCAGUGUGCACUGCGCUGUAGUUGGCGAUUCAGAAGCACUUCCAGUUCCCCGGUGUUGGUGUUGCUGUGUUGAUCUGAAAUCUGAUCUUGGUGUUGGUCUAGUGUUCCCCGGCGGCAUUCCCCCUUCCCAAUUCGGCUGCAGCGACUGCCGCGAUUCAGCUUACACACAAGACAACAAGCAGCCUAUAGUCGUGAGUGUUUCUUCCUUGCUGCUUUAAAUGCUAGUAGGAACUAGCAAAUGUGAGCAUGCUAUUAUUCUUCCUUUUCUCCUUAAUCUUUCCUAUCAUGCAUAGUUAAUUGAAAUUUUAUUUACUAAUUCAUUUUGUAUAAUGUUGAAGAAGUUUUUUAGGAUCUUUAUUCAUUGGCUUGAAUUUUUUUCGAGGUUUGAGACUUUGUAAAUCAAAUUUCACUAUAAUGGGAUUCCCCUUGUGUUUUCAUUUUUUGUUCUUGUUUUUCUCCAAUUAAAUUUAGUUUUAUUUCUGCUAGCUAGCAAUGUUUCAUGAAAAAAACAAUUUCUGGGCGGAUUCCUUCAUCUGAAUUGAAGUAAUUGAUAGUUCAAAUGGAAUUUUGAGAUUCUUUGUUUUUUUUUUUUUUGAAAUCUGUACCCGAGUUAUUCUAUGAAUCUUCUUGCUAAUGUCUCUCCUUUUUGGCUACUUGAAACUAUUGACCCUUCUGUUAUUGAAAUUGGAUUUAGUCCUACUUGUGCAUACUUUAUAAAAACUCAGAAACUGUGGUUGUCAUGAACCGUAGCUAGAAGAAAUAAAACUAAAUUUAGUUGGAGAAAAACAAGGACAAAGAAUGAAGACGCAUGCAGAAUCCCAUUACAGUGGAAUUUGAUUUCCAAAGUCUUAGAUAUCGAUAAAAAUUCAGACCAAUUAAUAAAGAUCAAUAGAAACCCUGUUCACAAGAUGGUCCCUAUUUUUGCUCCACGAGGACAAGCCUGUGUGUGAAUGUUUGGUAAUUUUUGAGUACAUUGACAAGGUGUGGAAGGACAAAUGCCUUUUUCUACCUUUUGGGCAAUUCCCUACCACUGAGCUCAAGCAAGGUUUUGACUUUUGGGCUGAUUUUGUUAACAAAAGAGGUUCCUACUUCCCUUCUUCUGCAGGUUGCUCUAAGAUCUUUCUUGUUAAACAGAUUUUUU